rnacentral:rRNA from 1 species
UACGUAGGGGGCAAGCGUUGUCCGGAAUCAUUGGGCGUAAAGCGCGUGUAGGCGGCUCGAUAAGUCUGCUGUGAAAGUCCAGGGCUCAACCCUGGGAUGCCGGUGGAUACUGUCGAGCUCGAGUCCGGAAGAGGCGAGUGGAAUUCCUGGUGUAGCGGUGAAAUGCGCAGAUAUCAGGAGGAACACCAAUGGCGAAGGCAGCUCGCUGGGACGUGACUGACGCUGAGACGCGAAAGCGUGGGGGGAGCAAACAGG